rnacentral:rRNA from 1 species
AGCGAACGCUGGCGGCAGGCCUAACACAUGCAAGUCGAACGGAUCCUUUGGGAUUAGUGGCGGACGGGUGAGUAACACGUGGGGACGUGCCCUUUGGUUCGGAACAACUCAGGGAAACUUGAGCUAAUACCGGAUGUGCCCUUCGGGGGAAAGAUUUAUCGGCUUUAGAGCGGCCCGCGUCUGAUUAGCUAGUUGGUGAGGUAAUGGCUCACCAAGGCUACGAUCAGUAGCUGGUCUGAGAGGAUGACCAGCCACAUUGGGACUGAGACACGGCCCAAACUCCUACGGGAGGCAGCAGUGGGGAAUCUUGCGCAAUGGGCGAAAGCCUGACGCAGCCAUGCCGCGUGGAUGAUGAAGGUCUUAGGAUUGUAAAAUCCUUUCACCGGUGAAGAUAAUGACUGUAGCCGGAGAAGAAGCCCCGGCUAACUUCGUGCCAGCCGCCGCGGUAACAC